CUGAAACUUGGCCUAUUCCAGGAAGCCUAGCCUGUCAUGGAGUCACCUUUGCUCUUACGAAAGUUUAUUUCCAAUAGAUACUUUUUAAAAGCGCCUGUGGAAUGGCUGGCGGGCUGGCGCCGUCUCCCAGCAGGUGUCCCCUCCUCGCUGUUCCUCCAGGAUAGAGCCUGUGACGAACCUCUGAAGACGAACCUCUAAAGACGACACCCACGGCCUGCUCACACGGCCAAGGAGACCCCAGAAGAGGCCCCUGAGGUGGCAGAACAUGCUCAGUGGCUCCAUGAAUCAGUGGGCAAGUGGUGGCUGACAUUCCCUGAGCCCAGUCCCCUGCCUGGGGUCCUGUGUGACAAUCUCCACUCCUGUCCUGUGGUUGGCCAGGGGUCAGCCCACCUGUGCAGAGCAGCCCCCACCGUGAGAAGGGGCCUCGUGCUGCCAGCAGGACAUGGACUCACCGCCAGGUAGGAGCCGCAAGCCCUCUGCGGUGCGACCUCCCCCCACCCCGGCAGACACCCGCCCCGCUCUUCCCGGCAGGGCCCCCUCCUCUCCUUUCGGCUGUUCUAUUAUGCAGUGGCGUGGCCUGGGGGCACAUGUGAUCGUGGCAUAAACACUGGGCCUGAGCCUGCGUGAGCGAGUGGGAAGAACAGACGCUGCAGCCAGGCCAGCGGCCCCUGUCUCCUCCCCCUUGUCCUCCCACCACACACUCAGUCACCACGAAUCCCCUGCAUUUUACUGCACUGGGUCACCCCUGUGACUGUCCCUCCCACCAGUGAGACGGAGGCUGGCGUGCUGGCCCGCCCCACGCUUAGCAAACACGGGACCCGUGAUGUGUAUGGAAGGAAGGAAACCAGAGCCAGACGGAAGUUACAGCAGAAAGACUGACACCUCCGGGAACACCUGCAGUGGAGGGAGAGACCCCGCCUGGAACUGGCUCCACUCUAGGCACAGCAAGAGCAGGGUCAUAAGCCGUCAAUGCCGGCUCUAGCAUGAUUCCUUCUCCUCAUCCUGGUCCCAGAAGCUUGGCGACGUCACCCUGACACCCCAGCCUCCGGGGUUCGUCCCAGAGAACCACGCUCAGGACUGCAGCCUCUCACAGGGUCUGUGUCGCCCGGCUGGCUCCUGGCAAGUCACGGCCCGGCUGGACUGGAGGCUCCACCCCUGCCUGUCUGUGCGUGUUCAAACGCAAUUCACUCACUCUCACCUGCACCCCAGGUGCGUUUGAGAGAGUGUUUAUUUGUGAAGAUGAAAGCUCGCUGACAUCACACUUGGAAGAGUCACGCUGGCGUGAAUGCAGAAGCUGCAGGUACCACCGACACCACGCUGGGGCCAGAGAGGCCCCGGUGUGCAUGUAGGUGGCAGGCUGAGUCCUCAGGUCCGUGGGAUUACUCUAAGUUGCACAGCCUGUGUAUUCACUGCUUCAGAAUAAACUGU